AUUGAACGCUGGCGGCAUGCUUUACACAUGCAAGUCGAACGGCAGCGCGGGCUUCGGCCUGGCGGCGAGUGGCGAACGGGUGAGUAAUGCAUCGGAACGUGCCCAGUAGUGGGGGAUAGCCCGGCGAAAGCCGGAUUAAUACCGCAUACGACCUGAGGGUGAAAGCGGGGGACCGAAAGGCCUCGCGCUAUUGGAGCGGCCGAUGUCGGAUUAGCUAGUUGGUGGGGUAAAGGCUUACCAAGGCGACGAUCCGUAGCUGGUCUGAGAGGACGACCAGCCACACUGGGACUGAGACACGGCCCAGACUCCUACGGGAGGCAGCAGUGGGGAAUUUUGGACAAUGGGGGCAACCCUGAUCCAGCCAUGCCGCGUGCGGGAAGAAGGCCUUCGGGUUGUAAACCGCUUUUGUUCGGGAAGAAAUCCUCUGGGCUAAUACCCCGGGGGGAUGACGGUACCGGAAGAAUAAGCACCGGCUAACUACGAG
rnacentral:rRNA from 1 species